rnacentral:rRNA from 1 species
GACGAACGCUGGCGGCGUGCCUAACACAUGCAAGUCGAGCGAGGUGAUUUCUUCGGAAUGAUCCUAGCGGCGGACGGGUGAGUAACACGUGGGUAACCUGCCUCAGUGAGGGGGAUAGCCUUCCGAAAGGAAGAUUAAUACCGCAUAAUAUCUGAUGAUCGCAUGAUUAUUUGAUUAAAGGAGUAAUCCGCACUGAGAUGGACCCGCGGCGCAUUAGCUAGUUGGUGAGGUAACGGCUCACCAAGGCCACGAUGCGUAGCCGACCUGAGAGGGUGAUCGGCCACAUUGGAACUGAGAUACGGUCCAGACACCUACGGGUGGCAG